rnacentral:rRNA from 1 species
AACGAACGCUGGCGGCAUGCCUAACACAUGCAAGUCGAACGAGAUCUUCGGGUCUAGUGGCGCACGGGUGCGUAACGCGUGGGAAUCUGCCCUUUGGUUCGGAAUAACAGUUGGAAACGACUGCUAAUACCGGAUGAUGACGAAAGUCCAAAGAUUUAUCGCCAGAAGAUGAGCCCGCGUAGGAUUAGCUAGUUGGUGUGGUAAAGGCGCACCAAGGCGACGAACCUUAGCUGGUCUGAGAGGAUGAUCAGCCACACUGGGACUGAGACACGGCCCAGACUCCUACGGGAGGCAGCAGUGGGGAAUAUUGGACAAUGGGCGAAAGCCUGAUCCAGCAAUGCCGCGUGAGUGAUGAAGGCCUUAGGGUUGUAAAGCUCUUUUACCCGGGAUGAUAAUGACAGUACCGGGAGAAUAAGCUCCGGCUAACUCCGUGCCAGCCGCCGCGGUAA